CAACAUUCUCACUUCACCCUUGGGAAGGCAAUAAUAUCCCUAGUCAUUUGGAGUUCAUUCAAGUCAUCUUGCACCAGUUGCUUGAAUUUCAGCACAACGUCGAGCAACACCUUGCUGCCACAGAGCAAUAUCACAUCGACUGCCACAUUGACUGCCAGAAAUGGACGUGAAACACCAUCACCUUUCCAGAAUUGCAUAAGAAAAGUUAAGGGCUAGAAGAAAGGUUAUGGAGCUUGAUCAAGGAGCCCUGCUGAAAGACAUGGAGCCCUGCCAUCAUCUACCACUGCCAGCUGCCUCCACCUGUGACCAGUGCAGGGGAAGGAAAACAACAGAAAGACAGCCACCUCUGAAGAGGCAUCAGCAAACCAGCAAAAUGUGUGUUGUGCGGAAGCCUUGGCCAAGGACUCCACAGUAAAAGUAAGUCCUAUAUGCCCAUACACCAUAGG
rnacentral:lncRNA from 1 species